GCUGCCUUGGAGAUAAUGCGGAAAACGCAACAGUAUAAAUAGAACGGACAGGGGACGUUUACAGCACAUUAAAUCGAAAAACCACAAAGUGACAUACGUUGAUAUAGCUUACUCUCCAAGCGACGCAAGUUUUUUUUGUUGAAACUUCGAAAACACAAUAAUUUAACAAGAUGUUUUGGCCACAAAGUGAUGAAAGCAAAUCCCAAGCUGGAUGUCCUGAAACAAAGACAAGAAGUAUCUUCCAGUCUUUUGUAGACAGAUCGUAUAGAAAUAAUCUACGACAUCUACAGAAUGACACAGAGGAGACAGUAGCAACGACAUACGAUAAAAUGAUGUCUGUCUUUAACAAUCACGUGAGCGCAGCUCAAAGUUUUGUAGACCAAUCGCAAUCGGCUUUACAACAGAUAAGCCAAGUAUCACGUGCGCUGUUAUCCACGUCAAUGCGACCAAUCGAAUGCUACAGCUGAAUAAUUUGAACUAUAAAUAGAGGAUAUAAUAAGAUUUAUUGCAGAAUAAUAAGCCACGGGUAUAGACUUUUAAAGUGCGAGAGGAGAAAUGGACAUGCAUUUGAACGUACUGCCAACAAAACGUAGAUCUGGUACGAAAAUAUAUCGUAGGAGAAAGAGCCGGGGGAGGAGUCACGUGUUAGAAAUCUCUUACCACAAGUUAUUGUGUUCACUUGAACUGUCGUGUUUACAUAAUUCCACGCUGGGACAAUAUCUUGCGUUUAUUUCAAGAACGAAUCUCGUAAAUCAUAACAAUUGUAGUCAGUUUUUAACCAGUUAUGUCAUUGAUCUUAAUUAAUUAAUGUUCAGAGAUAAUUCCAAUUAUCGUAUAUUUUUAAUAACACAUAGUAUAUAUGGACAUAGUAUAUAUGGACAAUACACAAAGCAUUGUAUGUUUAUAAUUAUGGAACACCCGAUACCACUUCUGUAUAUACUGUGAGUUAUUAGGACAUCUUGUACUUAUCAAAGAUCAAAAUAUAACUUAAAUAACUGUCCCUUAUUGAAUUGUAAACAGAUUCUAACACAGAUUAAUAAAUUAAAUGUAUUUAUUAGAAUUAAUAUAACUACGUGCUCGUUGUGUUUAGUUGAUAUUAGUCACGUACAUUACGUGCACUGUUUCGUAUAUUAAUUCGUUUUAAUGUUUUUUAUUUAUUUUCGUACAGAGAAAUCUAUAUUUUUGUAUAUUAGUACACGAACAAGUGCAAUGUUGAGCUAUAAUCCACGUCCCAGUUUUUUUAUUAAUGUAUUAACUUAUGUUUCAUAUAACUCUCUAAUUUAUGUCCAAAUAACAACAAUUGUAUCCACUAGACGGUUUAAAUAUGUGAUAUAUAUAUAUAUAUAUAUGUCUGUUUUUACGCCAUUUUGAAUUUUAAAUUGUAAAUACGUCAUUUAUUAUCCUUCAUUACGUCAUUUAUCAUUUAAUUUAUUGUUGAAAUGUUUGAAACGACUGUUGUAUAUCGUUUAUAUUUAUAUUUAAAUACUCACGUGUUGUAAAAAUAUUUAUUAAUACAUGUGUCUUUAUUUUCUCAAUGAAUGUUGUGUUCAACUCAGAAACAUGAGGUGAAAUUAAUAAAAUAUCCUUAAAAAUUCA